GUCACUCUGAUUUGCUAAAGAAAGAAGAGAACUGAGAAAAUGAUUCUUGUUAAAAUUCAUGAAGAAUUCCUAUGCUUUCUAAUUAAUAACUGCACAGGUCCUUCUGGGACAGACUUCAUAAUAUUCCAGGCAUCAAAGUGCAUGAGCCCAACCAGAGGUUUCCCAUUAAUAGCAAGAAUUUCAUCUCCAGCUUCUAUUAUUCCAGCUUGUUCAGCCGCACCACCUACGAGAAUAAACACAGAAUAAUUAAUAGCUUGGCAGUUUCAUAGUAUUCAAAAAUCCUAAGUAAACUAAAAACUUUUAAGUGAUAAAAAUAUCUAAAUAAUAUAUUAUUGAAUAGAGAAAUAUUUCUUAGAACACAAAAAGCAUAUAUCCAUAAAAGUAAACUGGUCUACAGAAAACAGUGCAACUCUAGCCCUCCUGCCGCCCCUCCAAACAUAAUCUGUAAGAUAAAAAUAAACUGACAAGGGGAAGAUACUCUCUAUGUAUUUAAUCAACAAAUGGUUAACAUCCAGACUAAAGAGCUACAAGUCAACAAGAAUAACACAAAAUAAAGUUGGGGUAAGGAAAUCAACAGCUGAACUCCAAACAGCCAGUAAACACAGAAAAGCAGGUUCAACUUUUUUUGUUGUUGUUGAGACGGCCUCACACUGUCACCCAGGCUGGAGUGCAGUGGUACAGUUUUGGCUCGCUGCAGCCUCCGCCUCACUGGGCUCAAGCGAUCCUCUCACCUCAGCCUUCAGAGUAGCUGCUACCACAGGCAUACACCACCAUGCACAGCUUUUUUUUUUAUAUUUUUGGUAGAGAUGGGGUCUUGCCAUGUUGCCCAGGCUGUCAGCUUCUAAUUGUUAACAGAUUCUGGCUGAUAUAUGCAAGUUCUGAGAAUCAGUGAUUAUGUGCUCAUUAGUGACCAUGGGGACUACUUACUUACAGAGUUUAGCAUGUUCACAUUAUAGCUUUGUCUAGCUUUGUAUGAGCUUUGAAAAAAAUGCAAGUGUAAACCCUCCAUUUACGUUCUCACACAUAUACUUCUAAAGGUACACCAGCUAUGGAGGCAUCUUAUGGAAAAAAAAUGGCAUUGAAAGAAAAAGUCCCAAGUGUGAAAAAAAUUUUCUCAGAAAUUUUGAUUAGACCUCAAAAGACUGAGCAGAUGUAUCGAUUUCAUCCUAAAUUACUGAAAGUCGUUAUUGAAAUUAUUGAAAUAAAUAUUAUGUGAUAAAAAUACAGCUUGGAAGAAAUCCAGCCCACACAAGGACAAAAACAUUUUCUGUGGUAAAUGAUAGAGGCAGUUAGUUACAUUAGAAGAGAGACCUCACCAAUAUCAGCCCUGUAGUGGGCCCCAGGAAAAUGAUUUGGUCCCUAGUCCUUGCUUUUCUUGAGAUAGAUACAUUUUUGGAAGGACCAAAGAACCAAUUAUAUUUGUGUUAACUUAGUACCCAAUGUCCUAUUCUAGCAUAUUAACCGAAGGCCUUCAGGUUAUGUGAAACAAAAGAAUUUUGUGAGUGUUCACCUGGGCUUCAGGACAUGGGAGGUUCCAGGCAACCAGAACAGCCUGACGCACACUGAAGGAGCAAUCAGACUGGGUUUGGUCUCAAAUCUGUGACUUCAGGCAAGUUACAGAUUUCUCCAAACUCCAGUUUUCUCAUCUGCAAAAUGGUGAUGAUGAUAUCUGUCUUGUUAUCUUACUAGGUUGUUAGAAGGACUGAAUGAGAUGAAGUAGAGGAAAGUCUUCUAGGACAGGGGUCCUCAACCCUUGGGCCACAGACUGGUGGCAGGAGGGCUGCACAGCAGGUGAGCAGUGGGUGAGUGAGCAAAGCUUCCUCUGUUCACAGCCUCUCACCGUCACUCACACUACCACCUGAGCUCUGCCUCCUGUCAGAUCAGCAGCAGCAUUAGAUUCUCACAUGGGAUGCCUGGUUGCAAGAAAACAAGCUCAGGGCUCCCACAGAUUCUACGUGAUGCAGUUUUCACAGAUUUGUGGCCAGAUGCUAGAGACAAAGGCUGAGAAGUUGUCCAGGACGUCAUAUUCUUGCUUUGCUGGAGGCAGAUCUGAAGGAUGUCAUCUCUCCUGUGGCUUCUUCUAGUGUGGGGUCCCGAAGCCUGGCUUCCCCAGCCGAUGUGCUGCUUUAGUCAGCGUCUGCCCUGGUCCUUCGGUUCGCAGGCUCACACGCUUUUUUGGGUUGUGUCCCUUUGGACUGCAGAGGCUACGUGUCCUGUGACCAACCACGAAGGCGGCCACUCCCGCUCCCCUCAGGAGUGUCUUAAAAUACCUCCAUUUUAGCUACCCUAUUGAAUGACAGGUUAGCUGGGUGCUGGGUUUUCAGGUGAUGGACAUUUUCCCUCAGUCCUCUGAAGGUGUUGCUGGCUUCAGGCAUUGAUGCCGCCACUCUGAUUGUUGUAUGCAGUGAGCAAACUAGAAUUUUCUCUUGGCUUUCUAGAUUUUCUUCUUUAUAUUCUGAAACUUUAUUAUAUCAAGGUUUGAAUUUUAUUUUUUUUGGAGACAGGGUCCUACUCUGUCAUCCAGGCUGGAGUGCAAUGGUGCAGUCCUGCUCACUGCAGCCUCCAAGUCCAGGGCUGAAGCGAUCCUUCUGCCUCAGCCUCCUAAGUAGCUGGGAUCACAGGUGUGCACCACUCUGCCUAACAAGGCUUGUUUUUUGUUUGUUUGUUUGUUUUAAAUAAAUACAUUCAGAUUGUUUUGCCCCUUGAUGAGUUUUUCAGUCUGCAUAGUCCUGUCAUUUUUUCACUUCUGGAAAAUUCUUAGUCAUGAUUUCUGCAAAUAUUUCCUCUCAUUCUGUUUUUUCCUUCUGGAACUCUUUCAUUACCUUUUUGUAGUCAUCUCUUUAUUUCCCUAUACUGCAUUUUUUAAUGGUUUCUUCUGUUCUGUUUUUACAAAUUCUAUCUAUCUUCACAUGGAUUUAGUCUAUUUUUUACUUUUACUCAUUAAUUUAAAAAUACAUUUAACUCCAUUUUCACUAAUGAGGGUGUAUGUGCAUUUAGUUUUUACUUUUAAAGAAGCAGGGUCUUGCUCUGCUGUUGAGGCUGGUAUUGAACUCCUGGGGCUCAAGCAGUGCAAGGAGCUGAGACUACAGGCAUGCGCUACCACACCCAGCUUGCAUUUUGUUUUUUUUACAUAUUUGCUUGCUCCUUCUGAAUACCCUCUUCGGUCCUGUUUCAUGGGUAACAUUCCUGCCUCUGUCAUGAAUGGGGUGUCCUGUUUUUCGGGUCUGCUGGCAAUGGAUGUUGCCCUGUACCCUUCGUCUGAGAGCUUUCUGUUGUGAGGGCUCUUAUAGUCGAGUUGCCACAUGCUUGCCUGAGCCUAGUUCUCCUCCUUCUGCUGCUCUGUCAACUUGAACAGUUAACUUGAUGAGUCUGAGGUUUUCUCUUCACCCUGGUACCAUAGGUUCACACAUAACAGAGACCUGACUCCUGAUUUAUGCCUGUCUUCUGCUUGCUCCGGGCGUUGGGAGCAGGCAGCCUAUCCUGGCUGCCACUCGAGUAACGCAGACCUGUUGUGACCACAGUUUACUGGCAAAAGAGCAGGUCCCAGGCCUCUGCAUCACGAGAUGCUUCGCUCUGGCUGCCCACAGGGGUGCUGAGCCCCUGCUCCUGGGUGGGCACUGAGUCUGCAGCGCCCCUGCUCCUGGGUGGGCCCCAGCCUGCAGUGCACAUUUCUCUGUCAUCCUCCGCUUCCUCUGGGCCCCAAGGAUGCAGCGCUGCUUACCACAGAGGCUUCAUUUCCACUUUUGAUCCAUAGAGGGGUUUUUUUUUAAGUGUAACUAUACAUUUUUAAAAGUAUUUUUUCCUAUUAACACUAUAGGUCAAGAGUGGAGAGAGGUUUUGGGAUUACUAUGCAAUUGUAGAAAUAUCUCAAGGUCAUUAACUAGAUGGUCAUUUAAAGAAACAACAAUCCUUAGCUAAGAAGAAUUGACCUUGUUAUUUGCUGACCUACUUACUCUGUUACAUACUGUAACUUUAAAUGGGUUUCUGAUCUAUUUGCAAGUAUAAUUACAUAUCAAUAUUGUUCAUACAAUUAUACUGUUAAUAUUAUUAGUACAAUUAUGAGUUAAUAUAAGAUUUUGAAAAACCGCCCAAGACCAAAAAAUGAAUUAUGCAAGUUGAUAAAGAGAUGGAUAUUUACCAAGCAUUUCAAUAAUAUCUAUCCCCCAUCUUUUUUUUCCCACAAAGGCUAUGCUUGGACUGUAUUCCUUUCUUGCAGUCUAGCAUUUACAAGUGUAGUAUUUUAAGUCAAUGAGAUCUUGGCCAGUAUUAAGUACUCCUGACUGGCAAGUCUAGUGAUGUUACUUAGUGUGGUGUGUUCACAUCAGAGAGAGGGGCCCGGAGUAAGGAACUGCUGCAGUACAGGGGUCAGGGACAGAUGCUCUGGGGCCAGACUGCCUGGGCUGGAGCCUGGUUCUGCCACUUACAGCUGUGUGACCCUACGUGCCUCAGUUUCUCCUUUUGUAAAAUAGGGAUAAUGAUGACACCCACCCAAUAGAGUUGCCACGUGGAUGGCAUGAGUUAAUACAUGUCCAUACAGAAUAAACCUUGUAUGUCACAAAGCAUUAAAAACAGUUUAGGUUUUUUGAUUUCUAAAUGGAAGGCAUUUUUUUCAUUGAGACAUCCAUGGAAAAAUGACAGGUGAGAGAAGGCUGACUGAGUUGUCUAGAACAUUACCUUUGUACACUCUUUUAAUGACCAAGGGCCCAUCUCCCGUCACCGAUGAUUUUCCCCCAUCCAGACUCAGUCCCAGCCCAGCCGAGGUCUUCAGCACUUCAACACACAGAGCAUCGUGUACAGCCACACUUCUCCCUGCAGCCGCAGCGUGCACCAAGAUGAAAAUGACAGGGUUGUUCAUCAUGCCACAUGUCCAAGUCCCCCAGGAUGCAUCGCCUCCAGCCCCAUGUACUUCUGGCACACUCAAGUCCCAUCUACCCUGGGGCACUUACUUACUUAUAACAGCACUUGAGCCCAGUAGCACUGUUGGCCUCCCAAUUCUGGGGCUGCCCUCCUGGCUGUGUUGCUGCUGUACUUGCAUCCUUUGUUCUGUGUUUUCUGCAAGCAUUGGCAAAUGCUUUUAUGCCCAAGCAGAAAUCCCCAGAAAGCAAAGUGCUCUUGUUAAGCCCCCCACACCGGCUGUGCACUUCUCAGUGAGGACUGAAGUCACACUUGGGGACUCCAAAUUUGAUUUUCUGCCAACCCUGGCUGCUAAUGGCAGCAGCAGAUCAUCCUCUGGUACCAAGACUUGGCAGCACCAAAAUGCCCAGUCUCAUGUGAGACUGUUAGAAUGGACUCCAAAGCCCCCAGGAACCCAGAGAGCUUCCUGCCUCCCCGCUCCUGCCACUCCUGCUCCUGCAAAGGGAAACCCUGCCCCUGGCUAUGGCUGUCUUCACAAACACACUCGCUGCCUCUACUGGCAUCUUGCUCCACUGUGAGGAAAUGUGUUUCCAUGGUGAUGCCGGCUCUGUGUGCUGGUUUCGGGAUAGUGGGCUGGUUUGAAUCAGGAUUGUAAACUUGCCUUGUACUUCCCUCCCUUGCCUGCCUACCAGCCAAGGACGUCAGAGUUGACUGCAAAGGCACACUUAGUUAAUUGGGAGGCAGAGGAAGGACCACGGAUGGAUUAAACUGCCUGCUUCCUCUGUUCACUGUUCACUAGGGCUGAAGCCAAGCUAGCAUUGUCUCCUUUGGACAUAAAGGCCAGUCCAUUGUCGUGGUUUAAAGAAGGCCACUCCACAGGGUCUGAAGGACAUUUACUAACACUGGGGGGAGCAUGAUUUUUCAACAGGAAAAUGGGUCUAUUGCAGUGGCUCGAGUCUGGCUGCAUACUGGAGUCACCUGGGAACGUGAAACGGUGUCUGGCCCCCACUGCGGCAUUUCUGAUUUAAUUAAGCUGGGAAUUUCCUGGGCAUCAGGAAUUUAAAAGCGUCCCAGCAUCUCUACUGUGCAGCUUACUGCACCGGGCCCCCAGCUGGACGCUGUCAGUGUAUGGUAAGGAAUAUAACUGCAUAGGACCGGGUAGACCUGGGUUAGGGAGACUGAAGAACAGGAAACUGAGCGAGGUUAAGCCCUCCAGGCGCUCAGCGUUUGAUUGAUUGCUCUGCAGGGUCUGCUUCAAGACCAGAGGCCCUGAAGUUGCUGCAGGAAUACUGAGUGAUUGAUUAUAAAUGACAGAAGGACCAUCCAGAUCUGAGUUCACGAGGCUUAAAAACUGGCAGCUGUGAGGAUGAAGUGGUUUCCUUUGACAGUUUACAAGGAUCCCACUGAAAGUCCACCAAGUGGUCGAGACAGUUUUGGGGCAAAGGCAAGCAUGACAAGAUCUGAUGACCAAGGUGUUUCCCUGUAUUGAGGAGGGCCUCAGCCCUCUGGAAGAGGGAAAGUGAAAUGACACAGAAGGAAGACUGGGGACCAUGGAGGCAUCUGGACAAGAAGUGUUUCUCAUUUGUUAAAUGGAAUCGGAGCCAUUUUCAGCAAGGACUACAAACAGCUCAGGCCACAAGGAAGCCAAGUUGUAGAAAGGAAUCCAGCUACCCUUAUCAGGGAGAGAUGUGGAGAAGGAACAAAAGGCCCCUCCCAGAAGGCACUGCCUAACCCAUACCCUCUGCUUUGCCCUCUCGAAUAAAAAAAGACGUCACCCCUGAAUGCCAAGAUGCACGGCACUCCAGACAUCUGCAGUACUUAACAGGGCAUUAAACAGCUCGCACUGCAGAAACAGACGCUGCACGUGGUUCUGAGGCUCUGAAUAUGGACGGAACGUAGAAAAUCUGUUUCUAAACCUCUUCCAGUGAGUUCUUCUUGGUUGACUAAGGCUGCAAUUUCUGUUUUCAGACACAAAAUACUCUUGCCCCCUCAUUUCCUUCUUUUCUUCUAAACCAGGAAAGAAUACAACCUUGCUGUUUCCCAAGGAUAAAUCUUAGUUCUGGAAUUUCUCCUUCAACACUGCUCGCCCCGUCACGUAGUUUCCUGUUUUCCUUACCAGUCCUAACAAGAGGCUGUGAAUGUAAGAGAUUCCUUCUUAGGACACUUAGGGAAACUGUUCUGCAGUCAUUUUAAAUCUUCCACAGUACAGCUUGAACUACUGGGGGGAUUUUUCUAAUUUUCUAAUUUUUUUCUAAUUUAUUUGUAACACUGCUUUUGUAAGCAGCAUCCAAACACACUAGACUUCGCUACAUUUAAUUUUUCAGAUCUAGAAGUUAGUUAGCUGUUAUUUUCCUUCAUGUUCAACCAGAAUCUCCUCUUUCUGCAGUAGCUCACAGCCUGCUGGUUGUUGAAAUGAUCAUCUUACCAAUGCCAGGCUCCAGGGGGAUGGUCUUUCUGGACAGCAAACCCUUCCCAUUGGCUGUGGGAGGCUCCUGCCGGGCAGAGGGCCUGGGCUGAUCCAUCCCUUUCUUGAUGACCACGAGGGCAUCUUUGUGCAGCUGUGCCUGGUGCAGAACCUUCAGGACAUUCCCGUGGGCUAAGCCAGCCAGUGAGGCGCCGUUGACUGACAGAAGGAAAUCCCCUCGGUUCAUAGUCCCUUCCUGAGAAGCCGCCCCCUGAGAAAACACCCUGUGGACCUGGGAUGAGGAAAGGAAAAGGGAACAAAAACCAGAUCCACUUACGAUUUCCGUGUCUGACAUGGGCCUGGCAUCCAGGAGGCAAUGGGAAUACGAAGAUGAAUGAGGCCUGGGCUCGUGCAGUGAAGGUGACCCUCUGGAUGGUCCUGAAGGCUUUUGAAUGAUGUAAAAUUUUGAGUGACUUUUUGAGACGGGAGUAAUUGUAUAAACACAAGUUUGGCCAGUUGAUUCUAAUGUUUUCUACUGCUUAAAAUAUGGAGGUAAAUUAUAAGGCUAUAGCGAAUUGUGUUUAUAGGGAUUGGAAAUGGCCUAUACAUGUCAGCUCUGUGUUAAAAAUGCUUGUCUUUUGUCAACGAAAACCUUACGUACUACUUCUCCCACUUCUCCCUUUUUAUGUUGGUAGCUGGGAAUGAAAUCCAGCAAUCUCUGAACCCGCUGAUUGGAAUUUGUGCCCUGAUCACAUUCUGAGGCUGCUUGAGGGGGGAUUUUCCUGAGAGCCUAAUGACUCUGUCACUUACCGUGAUUGAUUUUGGCUCCACAUCUGUCCCUCCUGCCACACUGAAUCCCAGACCUGAGCCUUCUUUUCUAUUCAAGACUAUGAAGCAAACAUCUUCUUCAUUCUAGUGAAAACAAACAAAAAUUAUCCUUUGAGCUACAGCUGCAAAAAAUUAAGAAAGAAAAACAUAUCCCCUUGGGCCAGGAGUAAGGAAGCUCUGAUGUCAGUCCUCUUGGAGGGGCUUUUCACCACAGGCCCUAAAGGUUCUUUGGCUCUCAGCCAGGCAUGGUGGCUCACGCCUGUAAUCCCAACACUCUGGGAAGCCAAGGGGGCGGAUCUCUUGAGCCCAAGAGUUCGAGUCCAGCCUGGGCAAUGUGGCAAAACCCUGUCUCUACAAAAAUCAGCCAGGUGUGGUGUUGCACACUUGUAGUCCCAGCUACUCAAGAGGCUGAGGUGGGAGGAUUACCUAAGCCCGGAAGGUCACGGCUGCAGUGAGCCAUGAUCACGCCACUGCACUUCAGCCUGGUUGACAGAGUGAGACCUUGUCUCAAAAAAAAAAAAAAAAAAAAAAAAUCAUAGUACAUAAUUUGAUCAUGAUGGGAAUCCUUUAUUCUGUAAUUCUUUAAGUCUACAAUUUAGCAAAGCCAGUCCUAGCAACAGCAGAAAGAUAAGCGUCAGUGGCAAGAGGCAGGAUAAGAGCAUAUCAAGGCCAUGUUUUCUACAUCUCCCUCCCCAUCAUUGGAUUUCAGGUACAAUUAAUUAACUGAUGCCAAAAAAAUAGCAUGGCUAGGCGCAGUGGCUCACGCCUGUAAUCCCAGUGCUUUGGGAGGCCAAGGCGGGCGGAUCACCUGAGGUCAGGAGUUCGAGACCAGCCUAGUCAACAUGGCGAAACCCCGUCUCUACUGAAAAAUACAAAAAUUAGCCGGGCGUGGUGGCGGACACCUGUAAUUCCAGCUACUUGGGAGGCUGAGGCAGGAGAAUCGCUUGAACCCAGCGGGCAGAGGUUGCAGUGAGUGGAGAUCAUGCCAGUUGCACUCCAGCCUGGGUGAUGGAGUGAGGCUCUGUCUCAAAAAACCCCCAAAGUUCACUCAAACCAAAACCUAGACUGUCCCGCAGAACUUUUGGGGGAGUUGGGAGGUUGACUUCAUGGGCACCUUCAACCAUAUGUAUGCUCACACACGGAUUGAUGGGGAGAAAGAGGUUGACUAAGCUUUCCAAACAAAAAUGGGAAUACGGGACCCAGUAAAUGGUCUUUGUCCAGCUUCUAGGAGGUAAUGUGGUGCUGAAAAUAGGAACACUUCUCAGAUAUUUCAAUGUCUUAUGGGAGCAAAGAGACAAUAUUUGAAAAUGAGGCCUCCUACGCCGGGUGCGGUGGCUCACGCCUGUAAUCCCAGCACUUUGGGAGGCGGAGGCAGGUGGUUCACAUGGUCAGGAGAUGGAGCCCAUCCUGGCUAACACGGUGAAACCCCGUCUCUACUAAAAAAAAAAAAAAAAAAAAGCCGGGCAUGGUGGCGGGCACCAGUAGUCCCAGCUACUCGGGAGGCUGAGGCAGGAGAAUGGCGUGAACCCAGGAGGUGGAGCUUGCAGUGAGCCGAGAUCACGCCACUGCACUCCAGCCUGGGCAACAGAGCGAGACUCCAUCUCAAGAAAAGAAAAAAAAAAAGGAGAAGGAAAAAAAAAAAGAAAAUGAGGCCCUCCUGCAUUCCAGGACAAGUUAAAUCACAAAAAUUUCAAUGUAUUCACAUUUUUUUCCAGUGGUGUUUAAGGACACAGAUAUGCUAGAAGCUGACUAUUGCGCCAAAUUUUGCCUCUGAGAGCCUCAGCACAGUCUCAGGGCGGCCAGAUCAACCAUCAAGAGCUCUCCAAGGUUUGGGUGUGUUGAAGUCAGGAGGCCAGGGUUUGUUUUCAGCCUCGAAGCCUCGAAUCUCUCACAGCACUGCCAAGGACACAGAAAAUAGUUUUGUGCAGUUCUAUUUUUAGUACCUGCAAACCAUACUCAUUGGAAAAAGCAAGGCAGGAAGCUUCUAGACUGAGGAUGGCAGAGUAAGGAUAGCCCUGCUCAACGCUCCUCUCUGAAGACAGUGAGAAAAUAAAGGGAAAAGAACGCCGUGUUCUGAUAUGUAGGAAUGAUCUUCAAACCAAACCACAACCCUGCCUCGUGGUGAGCGUGAGUAGUAGGGGGUGAGGAAGGCCCUAGAAUAAGCCACCCUCGGGCAGCACUGUGGCAUGCUGGCCAUACUUUGUUUGAGGUUCCUGAAGAUGUACAUCUUGCUUGUGGUUGGCUGGACAGUCUGGUCUUCUCCUCUGACAUUUCAUCUAACACUAAAAUGUCUGGGGUAAAGGGGGCCUGGCAACGUGUGACCCCACCUGUGCCCCCUUGACUGGUGGUCUCAGAAUGAGACUUUCACACAUGAAAUCCUUCCUUAUUGUAAUAACAAGUGGGAGGAGGAAGAGAGAUGAGGGGCUAUUCCCUUUUACUGAAAGCGGAAGUGCUUAGCAUCUCAAGACAUUUUGUUUUUCUUUCAGAGACAGGGUCUUGCUCUGUCACCCAGGCUGGAGUGCGCUGGCACGAUCAUAGCUCACUGAGCCUCAAACUACUGGACCCAAGUGAUUCUCCUGCUUCAGAUUCCCAUGUAGGUAGGACUACAGGCAUAUACCACCACGCCUGGCUAAUUUUUUAAAUUUAAUCUUUUUUUUUUUUUUUUGAGAGAUGAGGGGUCUCACUAUGUUGAUGAGGCUGGUCUCGAACUCCUGGCCUCAGAUGAUCCUCCUGUCAAGGCAUGUCUUAACUGCACAGACCCAAAUCAGCGGCUGAGAAUCAGAAGGGAGUGGAACCUGAAGGGACUGGUCUCCUUUAUUCCAACCUCUCUCCUCGCCUCCUGGCCAACUCCUUACUAGGUGCCAAGGCUGGCUGUUGGCUGAGAAACCACACAGCCCCUCUAUAUUUGAAUUUCUGGAACAGCAUUCUUAGAUGACUUCAGUGACCCAGGUAUACUACCACUAAAGAAACAUUCAUAUUUAUUUCUCUAAAUAGAAAAUAUUCAUUCAUUAGGGUUCAAAUCUCUACGUAUAGCCCCAAGAAAUUGAUCUUCAGAUUAGUAUCCUAGAUGUGAACCUGUGGUUUCUUCUGUCAAUGUUUAUUGUCACAACUGAUUUACUGAAAGAUUUUAUUUGUAAUUCCUUGUACUCCAGGGUUCAGAUGCUCUUCUACAGGUGACAUUUGAACAACACAGGCUCAAACUGUACAGGUCCACUCACACUCAGGGUUUCUUCAGCCUCUUUAUCCUUGAGGCAGCAAGACCAACCCCUCCCUCCUUCUCAGGCUACUCAGUGUGAAGAUGACAAGGAUGAAGCCCUUUAUGAUGAACCACUUCCACUUAAUGAAUAGUAAAUACACUUUCUCUUAUGACUUUUUUUUUUUAAUUGAGAUGAAGUCUUGCUCUGUCACCCAGGCUGGAAUGCAGUGGUGCAAUCUUAGCUCAUGUCAACCUCUGCCUCCUAAGUUCAAGCAAUCCUCUCGCCUUAGCCUCCUGAGUCGCUGAGACUACAGGCACCCACCACCAUGUCCAGCUAAUUUUUGUAUUUUUAGUAGAGACAGGGUUUCACCAUAUUGGCCAGGCUGGUCUUGAACUCCUGACCUCAAGUGAUCUGCCCGCCUUGGCCUCCCAAAGUUCUGAGAUUACAGGUGUAAGCCACUGCACCUGGCCUCUUAGGAUUUUCUUAAUAACGUUCUAUUAUCUCUAACUUACGUUGUUGUAAGAAGACAGUAUAUAAUACAUAUAACUGACAAAA